GAUGAACGCUGGCGGCGUGCCUAAUACAUGCAAGUCGAGCGAACAGACGAGGAGCUUGCUCCUCUGACGUUAGCGGCGGACGGGUGAGUAACACGUGGAUAACCUACCUAAGACUGGGAUAACUUCGGGAAACCGGAGCUAAUACCGGAUAAUAUAUUGAACCGCAUGGUUCAAUAGUGAAAGACGGUUUUGCUGUCACUUAUAGAUGGAUCCGCGCCGCAUUAGCUAGUUGGUAAGGUAACGGCUUACCAAGGCAACGAUGCGUAGCCGACCUGAGAGGGUGAUCGGCCACACUGGAACUGAGACACGGUCCAGACUCCUAAGGGAGGCAGCAGUAGGGAAUCUUCCGCAAUGGGCGAAAGCCUGACGGAGCAACGCCGCGUGAGUGAUGAAGGUCUUCGGAUCGUAAAACUCUGUUAUUAGGGAAGAACAAAUGUGUAAGUAACUAUGCACGUCUUGACGGUACCUAAUCAGAAAGCCACGGCUAACUACGUG
rnacentral:rRNA from 1 species